rnacentral:rRNA from 1 species
AAAAUGACGCCUAGGGGGGAAUGCUUUACACAUGCAAGUCGUACGCAGCACGGGGGAGCUUGCUCUCUUGGUGGUCGAGGGGGGGACGGGAUGAGUAAUAUAUCGGAACGUGCCCAGUAGGGGGGGAAAACUACUCGAAAGAGUGGCUAAUACCGCAUACGCCCUACGGGGGAAAGGGGGGGAUCGCAAGACCUCUCACUAUUGGGGGGGCCGAUAUCGGAUUAGCUAGUUGGGGGGGUAAAGGCUCACCAAGGCAACGAUCCGUAGCUGGUUUGAGAGGACGACCAGCCACACUGGGACUGAGACACGGCCCAGACUCCUACGGGGGGCAGCAGGGGGGGAAUUUUGGACAAUGGGGGAAACCCUGAUCCAGCCAUCCCGCGUGUAUGAUGAAGGCCUUCGGGUUGUAAAGUACUUUUGGCAGAGAAGAAAAGCAUCCCCUAUACGGAUGCUGCUGACGGUAUCUGCAGAAAAAGCACCGGCUAACUACGUGCCAGCAGCCGGGGUAAUACGUAGGGUGCAAGCGUUAAUCGGAAUUACUGGGCGUAAAGCGUGUGUAGGCGGUUCGGAAAGAAAGAUGUGAAAUCCCAGGGCUCAACCUUGGAACUGCAUUUUUAACUGCCGAGCUAGAGUAUGUCAGAGGGGGGUAGAAUUCCACGUGUAGCAGUGAAAUGCGUAGAUAUGGGGGGGAAUACCGAUGGCGAAGGCAGCCCCCUGGGAAAAUACUGACGCUCAGACACGAAAGCGGGGGGGGCAAAAAGGAUUAGAUACCCUGGUAGUCCACGCCCUAAACGAUGUCAACUAGCUGUUGGGGCCGUUAAGGCCUUAGUAGCGCAGCUAACGCGUGAAGUUGACCGCCUGGGGGGUACGGUCGCAAGAUUAAAACUCAAAGGAAUUGACGGGGACCCGCACAAGGGGGGGAUGAUGGGGAUUAAUUCGAUGCAACGCGAAAAACCUUACUCUACCCUUGACAUGUCUGGAAAGCCGAAGAGAUUUGGCAGUGCUCGCAAGAGAACCGGAAAACAGGUGCUGCAUGGCUGUCGUCAGCUCGUGUCGUGAGAUGUUGGGUUAAGUCCCGCAACGAGCGCAACCCUUGUCAUUAGUUGCUACGCAAGAGCACUCUAAUGAGACUGCCGGUGACAAACCGGGGGAAGGGGGGGAUGACGUCAAGUCCUCAUGGCCCUUAUGGGUAGGGCUUCACACGUCAUACAAUGGUCGGGACAGAGGGUCGCCAACCCGCGAGGGGGGGCCAAUCUCAGAAACCCGAUCGUAGUCCGGAUCGCAGUCUGCAACUCGACUGCGUGAAGUCGGAAUCGCUAGUAAUCGGGGAUCAGAAUGUCGGGGUGAAUACGUUCCCGGGUCUUGUACACACCGCCCGUCACACCAUGGGGGGGGGUUUCACCAGAAGUAGGUAGCCUAACCGCAAGGGGGGCGCUACCACGGGGGGAUUCAUGACUGGGGGGG